GAGCGAAAGCGACGUUCAACCUCAAAAGAAGCAGAGGGGGCUUAGUGGUGGGGUGACUGCGUACCUUUUGUAUAAUGGGUCAGCGACUUAUAUUCUGUAGCAAGGUUAACCGAAUAGGGGAGCCGGAGGGAAACCGAGUCUUAAUUGGGCGUUAAGUUGCAGGGUAUAGACCCGAAACCCGGUGAUCUAGCCAUGGGCAGGUUGAAGGUUGGGUAACACUAACUGGAGGACCGAACCGACUAAUGUUGAAAAAUUAGCGGAUGACCUGUGGCUGGGGGUGAAAGGCCAAUCAAACCGGGAGAUAGCUGGUUCUCCCCGAAAGCUAUUUAGGUAGCGCCUCGUGAACUCAUCUCCGGGGGUAGAGCACUGUUUCGGCUAGGGGGCCAUCCCGGCUUACCAACCCGAUGCAAACUGCGAAUACCGGAGAAUGUUAUCACGGGAGACACACGGCGGGUGCUAACGUCCGUCGUGAAGAGGGAAACAACCCAGACCGCCAGCUAAGGUCCCAAAGUCAUGGUUAAGUGGGAAACGAUGUGGGAAGGCCCAGACAGCCAGGAUGUUGGCUUAGAAGCAGCCAUCAUUUAAAGAAAGCGUAAUAGCUCACUGGUCGAGUCGGCCUGCGCGGAAGAUGUAACGGGGCUAAACCAUGCACCGAAGCUGCGGCAGCGAACGUAUCACCCAAGACAACUUUACGGAGUUGACGAUUGACGGAGCGAAGCGACGUCAAAGCGUUCAUUAAAGUCGAGUUGGCUUAGGGAUACGUUCGUUGGGUAGGGGAGCGUUCUGUAAGCCUGUGAAGGUGGCCUGUGAGGGUUGCUGGAGGUAUCAGAAGUGCGAAUGCUGACAUAAGUAACGAUAAAGCGGGUGAAAAGCCCGCUCGCCGGAAGACCAAGGGUUCCUGUCCAACGUUAAUCGGGGCAGGGUGAGUCGACCCCUAAGGCGAGGCCGAAAGGCGUAGUCGAUGGGAAACGGGUUAAUAUUCCCGUACUUGGUGUUACUGCGAAGGGGGGACGGAGAAGGCUAUGUUGGCCGGGCGACGGUUGUCCCGGUUUAAGCGUGUAGGCUGGUUUUCCAGGCAAAUCCGGAAAAUCAAGGCUGAGGCGUGACGACGAGGCACUACGGUGCUGAAGCAACAAAUGCCCUGCUUCCAGGAAAAGCCUCUAAGCAUCAGGUAACAUCAAAUCGUACCCCAAACCGACACAGGUGGUCAGGUAGAGAAUACCAAGGCGCUUGAGAGAACUCGGGUGAAGGAACUAGGCAAAAUGGUGCCGUAACUUCGGGAGAAGGCACGCUGACACGUAGGUGAAGUGAUUUACUCAUGGAGCUGAAGUCAGUCGAAGAUACCAGCUGGCUGCAACUGUUUAUUAAAAACACAGCACUGUGCAAACACGAAAGUGGACGUAUACGGUGUGACGCCUGCCCGGUGCCGGAAGGUUAAUUGAUGGGGUCAGCGCAAGCGAAGCUCCUGAUCGAAGCCCCGGUAAACGGCGGCCGUAACUAUAACGGUCCUAAGGUAGCGAAAUUCCUUGUCGGGUAAGUUCCGACCUGCACGAAUGGCGUAAUGAUGGCCAGGCUGUCUCCACCCGAGACUCAGUGAAAUUGAACUCGCUGUGAAGAUGCAGUGUACCCGCGGCAAGACGGAAAGACCCCGUGAACCUUUACUAUAGCUUGACACUGAACAUUGAGCCUUGAUGUGUAGGAUAGGUGGGAGGCUUUGAAGUGUGGACGCCAGUCUGCAUGGAGCCGACCUUGAAAUACCACCCUUUAAUGUUUGAUGUUCUAACGUGGACCCGUAAUCCGGGUUGCGGACAGUGUCUGGUGGGUAGUUUGACUGGGGCGGUCUCCUCCUAAAGAGUAACGGAGGAGCACGAAGGUUGGCUAAUCCUGGUCGGACAUCAGGAGGUUAGUGCAAUGGCAUAAGCCAGCUUGACUGCGAGCGUGACGGCGCGAGCAGGUGCGAAAGCAGGUCAUAGUGAUCCGGUGGUUCUGAAUGGAAGGGCCAUCGCUCAACGGAUAAAAGGUACUCCGGGGAUAACAGGCUGAUACCGCCCAAGAGUUCAUAUCGACGGCGGUGUUUGGCACCUCGAUGUCGGCUCAUCACAUCCUGGGGCUGAAGUAGGUCCCAAGGGUAUGGCUGUUCGCCAUUUAAAGUGGUACGCGAGCUGGGUUUAGAACGUCGUGAGACAGUUCGGUCCCUAUCUGCCGUGGGCGCUGGAGAACUGAGGGGGGCUGCUCCUAGUACGAGAGGACCGGAGUGGACGCAUCACUGGUGUUCGGGUUGUCAUGCCAAUGGCACUGCCCGGUAGCUAAAUGCGGAAGAGAUAAGUGCUGAAAGCAUCUAAGCACGAAACUUGCCCCGA
rnacentral:rRNA from 1 species